CGUAGGUCCCGAGCGUUGUCCGGAAUUACUGGGUAUAAAGGGUGCGCAGGCGGCCAUGUGCGUCAGAAGUGAAAUAUCACGGCUUAACCGUGAGGGUGCUUUUGAAACGGCGUGGCUUGAGUACGGGAGAGGAUGAUGGAAUUCCUGGUGUAGCAGUGAAAUGCGUAGAUAUCAGGAGGAACACCGGUGGCGAAGGCGGUCAUCUGGCCCGGUACUGACGCUCAGGCACGAAAGUGUGGGUAGCAAACAGGAUU
rnacentral:rRNA from 1 species